GUAGGUGGCAAGCGUUGUCCGGAAUUAUUGGGGCGUAAAGCGCGCGCAGGCGGUUCUUUAAGUCUGAUGUGAAAGCCCACGGGCUCAACCGUGGGAGGGUCAUUGGAAACUGGAGAACUUGAGUACAGAAGAGGAAAGCGGAAUUCCACGUGUAGCGGUGAAAUGCGCAGAGAUGUGGAGGAACACCAGUGGCGAAGGCGGCUUUCUGGUCUGUAACUGACGCUGAGGCGCGAAAGCGUGGGGAGCAAACAGGAUUAGAUACCCUGGUAGUCCACGCCGUAAACGAUGAGUGCUAAGUGUUAGGGGGUUUCCGCCCCUUAGUGCUGCAGCUAACGCAUUAAGCACUCCGCCUGGGGAGUACGGCCGCAAAGGCUGA
rnacentral:rRNA from 1 species